rnacentral:misc_RNA from 1 species
UCUCCGUUGGUGAACCAGCGGAGGGAUCAUUACCGAGUUUACAACUCCCAAACCCCUAUGUGAACGUUACCAAACUGUUGCCUCGGCGGGAAAUUCAUGCCCCGGGCGCGUCGCAGCCCCGGACCAAGGCGCCCGCCGGAGGACCAACCAAAACUCUUUCGUAUGUCCCUCGCGGACUUUUAUAAUUCUGAACCAUCUCGGCGCCCCUAGCGGGCGUUUCGAAAAUGAAUCAAAACUUUCAACAACGGAUCUCUUGGUUCUG